rnacentral:rRNA from 1 species
UUCGAGUGGCGGACGGGUGAGUAACGCGUGGGUAACCUGCCCUACACAGGGGGAUAACACCUGGAAACAGGUGCUAAUACCGCAUAAGCGCACAGGGCCGCAUGGCCCGGUGUGAAAAACUCCGGUGGUGUAAGAUGGACCCGCGUCUGAUUAGCUUGUUGGCGGGGUAGGGGCCCACCAAGGCGACGAUCAGUAGCCGGCCUGAGAGGGCGGACGGCCACAUUGGGACUGAGACACGGCCCAAACUCCUACGGAAGGCAGCAG